rnacentral:rRNA from 1 species
GAUGAACGCUGGCGGCGUGCUUAACACAUGCAAGUCGAACGAAGCACUUAACCUGAUUCUUCGGAUGAAGGUUUUUGUGACUGAGUGGCGGACGGGUGAGUAACGCGUGGGUAACCUGCCUCAUACAGGGGGAUAACAGUUAGAAAUGACUGCUAAUACCGCAUAAGACCACAGAGCCGCAUGGCUCGGUGGGAAAAACUCCGGUGGUAUGAGAUGGACCCGCGUCUGAUUAGGUAGUUGGUGGGGUAACGGCCUACCAAGCCAACGAUCAGUAGCCGACCUGAGAGGGUGACCGGCCACAUUGGGACUGAGACACGGCCCAAACUCCUACGGGAGGCAGCAGUGGGGAAUAUUGCACAAUGGGGGAAACCCUGAUGCAGCGACGCCGCGUGAGCGAAGAAGUAUUUCGGUAUGUAAAGCUCUAUCAGCAGGGAAGAAAAUGACGGUACCUGACUAAGAAGCACCGGCUAAAUACGUG